AACACCGAAACCUUUCAAAUACCCUGACUUCUUCCCAAGGACUUGAAUAGAAAUUUGCUCUUGUGUGAGUGGGGUUGCUCCAGACUGUGAAACUUUCUCAUGAAGUUGGUCCAUCUUCUCCUGUCAAUUAAAAAAAAAAGGUUCAUGUAAAGCUGUUGGGACUCGUUUGGUGGUUUGGAGGUGGCUGCGUUGGGUGCCCUUCCAUGGAUAAUGUCUCUCUUGUUCUUAAAAGGAAUAGCCUAUUAACUUGGUGGUGGCUGCAACAUGCGCCCUAUCAUGUUAUUGGUUGGAAAAUCUGUGUAGUUUUAAUUAAUACAUGUAGAUCUCUGUUUCUAUUUUGGUGGUUAAUUUGGUCUUUAUUAUUAAUGCCUACUUGUACGGGUUGUGUAGGAGAUUAUAUGUGUAGUUUUAAUUACUAUGUGUAUAUAUUUUUAUACUUCAGGUA